rnacentral:rRNA from 1 species
AUUGAACGCUGGCGGCAUGCCUUACACAUGCAAGUCGAACGGUAACAGGUCUUCGGAUGCUGACGAGUGGCGAACGGGUGAGUAAUACAUCGGAACGUGCCCGAGAGUGGGGGAUAACGAGGCGAAAGCUUUGCUAAUACCGCAUACGAUCUCAGGAUGAAAGCAGGGGACCGCAAGGCCUUGCGCUCACGGAGCGGCCGAUGGCAGAUUAGGUAGUUGGUGGGAUAAAAGCUUACCAAGCCGACGAUCUGUAGCUGGUCUGAGAGGACGACCAGCCACACGGGGACGGAGACACGGCCCAGACUCCUACGGGAGGCAGCAGUGGGGAAUUUUGGACAAUGGGCGCAAGCCUGAUCCAGCCAUGCCGCGUGCAGGAUGAAGGCCUUCGGGUUGUAAACUGCUUUUGUACGGAACGAAAAGACUCUGGUUAAUACCUGGGGUCCAUGACGGUACCGUAAGAAUAAGCACCGGCUAACUACGUGCCAGCCGCCGCCGUAACAC